GGACUACCCGGGUAUCUAAUCCCGUUCGCUCCCCUAGCUUUCGCACCUCAGCGUCAGACACGAGCCAGGACCUUGCCUUCGCCAGUGGUAUUCCUCCGGAUCUCUACGCAUUUCACCGCUCCACCCGGAAUUCCCGGUCCCUCUCUCGCUCUCUAGUCGUGCCGUCUUUGCGACCCUUGGGCAGUUAAGCCACCCACUGUCCCCGCAAACUGACACAACCGCCUGCGUGCCCUUUACGCCCAGUAACUCCGGACAACGCUUGCCCCCUACGUAUUACCGCGGCUGCUGGCAC
rnacentral:rRNA from 1 species